GUGGGGGUUGUGCAUGUGGUCCUUAGACCUGAGGCCACCAUGGUCCUUGUGCAUAUGAAACCAUAGUUUUGGUUCAUACUCAUUCAUGACUUAGUCAUGUAUGGGGUGUUCUGGAUAUGGUGGAUUAUGUAUGGAUGUUAUGAGUAGGUCAACAUGGAAUCGAUCAUUCCUAAUAAAAGGAGAUCGCAUCCUACUUGUUCCGAUCGAGAGAUGAUUCAAGAAGUCUUUGAUCAAAGCAGAAUAAAAAUUAGAAAAGAUUUUUAAUAUUUUAUUAAUCGAA
rnacentral:lncRNA from 1 species